rnacentral:rRNA from 1 species
GAAAUCGGGAUUAAUACCCCAUAAUAUCCGGAAUUCACAUGUUUUCCGGAUUAAAGCUCCGGCGGUUUAAGAUGGGCAUGCGUGACAUUAGUUUGUUGGUGAGGUAACGGCUCACCAAGACUACGAUGUCUAGGGGUUCUGAGAGGAUUUUCCCCCACACUGGUACUGAGACACGGACCAGACUCCUACGGGAGGCAGCAGUAAGGAAUAUUGGGCAAUGGACGAAAGUCUGACCCAGCCAUGCCGCGUGCAGGAUGACAGCCCUACGGGUUGUAAACUGCUUUUAUAUAGGAAGAAACCUCCGCACGUGUGCGGAGCUGACGGUACUAUACGAAUAAGCAUCGGCUAACUCCGUGCCAGCAGCCGCGGUAAUACGGAGGAUGCAAGCGUUAUCCGGAUUUAUUGGGUUUAAAGGGUGCGCAGGCGGAACGAUCAGUCAGUGGUGAAAUCCUACGGCUCAACCGUAGAACUGCCAUUGAUACUGCCGUUCUUGAGUACAGUUGAAGUGGGCGGAACGUGUCAUGUAGCGGUGAAAUGCUUAGAUAUGACACAGAACACCGAUCGCGAAGGCAGCUCACUAAGCUGAAA